AGAGCGCGGGGCGUGGCCUCGUCCUUGGAGAUGCUGCUGACCGCCCACAGAGAGCUUGUGUGCACCGCGCUGCACCUUGGCCCCGCUGCGGCUCCUCAGGCUGCUGACCAGCGCGCCUAGCUGCGACCAGCGCAUCUAACUACAGCCACCCGGACCUGAACAUCCUCAUAUCCAUCCUCCAGGAUCCCGGCCAAGCCGCGGGAGGAGAGGCCACCAAGUCCACCUCAACAUUGGUGAGGCGAUCGGGAUCAGAUGCGAAUCCUCGUCCCCUUCGUUGCAUUGCACAGCGCCUACAGAGCACACAGCCUUGGAGCCCAGAGGCUAGGAGCAGGGAUGGCCGGGGAUGCUGCGCCCACCGCACCGGUUCAAAGAGAGCCCAUCCCCAGAGAAGCUGAUCGAGAGAGACUCUAGAGAUCAAGGAGGCCUCUCUUGGAAGGUGAGGGAGACCCAGGGAAGUGAAGGGACUCGCUGAAGAUCAUGUAAAUACACCCCAAAUCCAGCACUCUUCCACUCUUCCACUGCCAAGUUGAUGUCCCUGGAAAGGGAGAGAAGAGCAGAAUGAGAAAGGAGGGAGAUGGAACUUUGUGCGGCUCCCCACAAAAUUCAUCAUCAGAGACUGAAUGUUGCCUCUAAGAAAUUAAUUCAUAUGCCAUUUCUCACACUCUUAUGAAAACUUACAUCGGUCUUUCCUGAUCUCUUCAUCUGGGCUCCUUUCAGGAUCGGCACAGAAUCCUUGGCUUCCCUCAAGGCUCAACUCAGAUGCCAGCCCUCUGUGAAGCCUCUUUUGUUAGUGACUUCAUCCACCUGGAUUUUCUUUGUACUAUGCUUGUUGGUGUAAAUGGAAAAUUUGGGGUGGAUUCCGGGAAAAUGGUGGAACAGCCUGAAGCUUCUCAUAGACAUCCCAGGAUACGUGAUACGGGUACAGACUUCCUGCCUUGUCGUGGAAUUAAACAAACGUCCCCUUGGUGCUAACACUGUGAUUCAACUCCCCUGCAGCCUUCCUUGCAAAGGAGGACAAAGCAACUACAUUCAAAAGGGCUGGAUGCACACUCUGAUUUUUCAUCUCUAAAAACCCAUUUAACAGUGAACGCCUUUCAAAUACAGUGCAGUCAGAGCCCAGAGAAUCAAAGAGCUGGAAGUGGCCUCAUGUGGGGUAUCUACCUAGCUCUCCUGCCUCCAAGCAAGACAUUUGUUGAAUGCAUGUUGGAGAUGACAACAUAGACUAUUCAUGACAAAUGACUGAUGACUGUACUCUUAAAGUUCCCUGGGGCUAAAAGCUUUGGUAAGUCUUGUAACCUCUUCCAAAGUUUAACAGCCCUCUGUAUCAAGGAAGUUUAUUUUGAUAUUCAAUGCCCCUUCUUUAUCUUCACCUGUUGAUGUAGUAUUUGGUUCCACUAUGUGCAGAAUCAACAUUCAGGGGAAAAAUUGGAGUAGGGACAGGAACUGGACUUGCAAGUUUAUGGGUAUAGAGAACUACCAGGUGAAUAAAUGCCUUCCACCAAUGUACCUUCUCUGUCACUCAUAGUCUGAAUUACCUGGAAUUCUGGCAAGGUCAGUAACUUGCCCAGGAAUACACAGCUAAUAGGUGUCAGGGGCAAUAUUUGAACCCAGUUCUUCCUGAUUUCAAGACUAUCUCUCUAUCCACCUAUGUUAUUGUUAAAAAUACAAGAGGACAUUAUAUAAGGGAUGCCAUCAAUAAACUGAGGUGAAUUGGGGAAUAAUUGGUUAGUAACAUAAUAUCACAUAGUUCCUUACUAAUAACAAUUCCUGACAUUUAUAUGAAGUUAACAAAAUAUCUCAUUUGAGCUUCACAACAAUCUCAUGGGUUAUAUGUUAUUAUCUCCAUUUACAAAAAAUGAAAUUGAGGCUAUUAGAGCUUAAAUGGCUUAUUGAGUAAUAAUAGAUGUAAAGUUAUAAGCAUAGGUUCAAAAAAUCAAUGGCACGUUUAUAGAAAGGGGAAGACACAGCAAAACUGCUCUCCUUUUAAAAAAUCUGUCAAUACAAAUAGGUUACAAAUUUAAAACAGCAGUAAUGGGACAUGACUAUCCAAAAAGAUACUGUGAUCUUAGAUUGCAUUAAUAUCCUUCCAAGCACCCCACCAGGAUCCCAGGACCCUAGCAGAAACAGUAGAACCUUAAUAUUGUGGUGCUACUAUAUACACAGUCUCCCUUGAGGAAGAAUAAAUCUACAUUAUCAUUGCUUACUACUGGAAAGGGCAUGAUAAUCUAUUUCCCUACAGCUUCACUUGGAUGCUGAAAAACCAAGUUUUAGCCAACCUAAGUCAAAGCUCUAUUUUCUGCCAUCUUUGCCCACUCAAAUAUCCAUCCACUUCAAUCCUAUUCUUCUAAAGUUUCCAUUCAACUGUAUUCUUUCCUUCCAUUACAAUAGCCUGUCCUUUCAGGUAGUCUUUUACAUUAUAUUAUUACUCUACUCUUCAGUCCAGUGACUUGCUAUUAUGUAGGUCAUCUUCUUGCCUUUAUACAGGCUGGCUACAAUUUCUGAAAGGCUUUUGCUCCUAAAUUUUACCUCUUGGAAACUCUACAUGUCUUUAAACUCAGAUGCCACAUUCUUUAAGAGGUCUCUCCUGAUAUUUCCAGUUGUUAAUUCUUCCUCUGCAUUUUGUCUUUCUUUGUCACAUCAUCAGUAGUUAACAUAGU